rnacentral:piRNA from 1 species
UCGGUGGUGUGACAAAAAACCUGGUGGAAA